UGGGGGAUAUUGCACAAUGGGCGAAAGCCUGAUGCAGCGACGCCGCGUGGGGGAUGAAGGCCUUCGGGUUGUAAACUUCUUUUGCUCUGAACAAGGCAUGCUAAUGGGUGUGUUGAGUGUAGGGGUUGAUUAGCGCCGGCUAACUACGUGCCAGCAGCCGCGGUAAUACGUAGGGCGCGGGCGUUGUCCGGAAUUAUUGGGCGUAAAGGGCUUGUAGGUGGCUGGUUGCGUCUGUCGUGAAAGCUCAUGGCUUAACUGGGGGUUUGCGGUGGGUACGGGCUGGCUUGAGUGCAGUAGGGGAGGCUGGAAUUCCUGGUGUAGCGGUGGAAUGCGCAGAUAUCAGGAGGAAUACCGGUGGCGAAGGCGGGUCUCUGGGCUGUUACUGACACUGAGGAGCGAAAGCAUGGGGAGCGAACAGG
rnacentral:rRNA from 1 species